UGCUCCAGAGAGUGGUCCAGAGCUGGAAUGGGCUGCCUCACGUGUGUGUUUUGAGGGAAAGGGUCACUUACCUGCUAAUUCACAGCCUCAUUUUCUUCAAGGUUAUCAGUCUUACAGGUGCUGAAAACCAGAAUACAAGGUUCUGUGGCUUCAAAAUUUCAUUUGUCUGUAAGACCUGAAAACAUAAUGAAGACUUGAAGGUCUUGUUAAUAUGACAGUAUUCAUGUGAGAAAUGAUCAAGACGGAAAAACAUCCGUGUUCUCCCCGGAACACGCGCAGAGCAGACCACCUGCCUAGGCCUGGUCAACGCCUAGGGUAUUUUGGACGGACGUGCCUAUGCUGAAAGCUCGCAGGCCGCCUUUGAACUUGGCUUGGCAGCGGAUGAAAACCUUUCCCAGCCUCCCAGACGCUCCCGCUGCGCGUCAGAGCGCCGCUUCUGCUCCUCGCGGCCAGGAGGAGCCCCUGCAGUGCGCGCUGCCGCCGCCAGCUGGAGCUAAAGGCUGCGGCGCCGGCUCGGGGGCCGUGGGAAGCCUCGCGGCGGGGGGCGCAUCCCUUCCGCCCGCUCGCCGCCGGCGCCGGCCAACCUGCGGAAAUGAGAGGCCUCCCUUCCGAGGCUAGGCAGAAGUUCACGUAUAUCUCAUUUUUCUACCCUCGUCUCUUUAUUUCAUUAUCAAAGGUUGAUUUCGGGGUUUAAUAAAACCAAACUGAAACACUGUCAAGGGGAGAGAGAUCACAGUGCUGAGAUGAAUGUAAACUGGCGGUUACUUCAUUCGUUGGGAACCGCUUACAGACCUCCAUACCAGAUGUCAGACCUGGAGCUAGACGCUGGGGGUGCCGGGCUGAUGAGACAAUCCCUGCGCAAGUCAGGGGUAAAAGGUGGUUUCGAGCAAACCAUUUUGUUCUGCUUCUGGCUGAAGUGCUAACAUUUAAAUAAACAUCUUUUAACGUU